GUGAGUGCUGGGUAGAAUGGGAAAUGAGGAGUGGGAGCUGUGACAGUGGGGCUAUGGGCUCAAGCUGGGCCUGUGAUGCUCUCUGUAGAGUGCCCCCCCCAUCCGCCCCAGCCCCUGUCACUUUCUACUUUACCUUCUACUCAG
rnacentral:miRNA from 14 species